rnacentral:lncRNA from 1 species
CCACUUUGGUCUCCCAAAAUGCUGGGAUUACAGGCGUGAACCACUGUGCCCGGGCGCCGACCCCCACAACUUUUAGGAGACUUCAGCCAAGCUCUUUGAAAGUAGGAGGAAGUUCCUGCAGGCGCCACUUGGAGGAGAUCACUCUGGAAAGCUCCCUGAUGCCCAGCAAGCCCAUCACCAUGGCAACCUAUCCAUCCUGAGCUGCUCUUCCCUUGGGCCUCCAGAAAGGAGGCUGACUGAGGUGAUGCAAGUUUCUCUGAGCACAGCCACCUUGCACCUUAUAUGAACACAGACUCAGCCUACUCACCAGCUUUCUGAGACCACAAACAACAAAAGCUGGCUGCAUAGGAGGGAGAGAGGCCCCAAGGAGGGGCUCUGUCGUGCGACCCUGCUGGACUUCUCCAUCCCAGUUUCCUUGCUGGAGUCAACUUGCCUGUGCACAAAGAUUGCAUCUGGUAGUAUUUUUGGACUUAAGUUGCUCUAGGAGGGCAUAAAUAAAAGCAAUAGUAAAAAAGACUUAGCAGGCUGGCUCACAACGACUGCUUGA